GAUGAACGCUGGCGGCGUGCCUAAUACAUGCAAGUCGAGCGAAUGGAUUAAGAGCUUGCUCUUAUGAAGUUAGCGGCGGACGGGUGAGUAACACGUGGGUAACCUGCCCAUAAGACUGGGAUAACUCCGGGAAACCGGGGCUAAUACCGGAUAACAUUUUGAACCGCAUGGUUCGAAAUUGAAAGGCGGCUUCGGCUGUCACUUAUGGAUGGACCCGCGUCGCAUUAGGUAGUUGGGAAGGUAACGGCUCACCAAGGGAACGAUGCGUGGACGACCGGGGAGGGUGAUCGGGCGCCAUAUGACAGAGACGCGGCCCAGACGCCGAGGGAAGGAAGCGGUAGGGAAUCUUCCACAAUGGACGAAAGUGUGACGGGGGAACGCAGCGUGAGUGAUGAAGGCUUUCGGGUCGUAAAACUCUGUUGUUAGGGAAGAACAAGUGCUAGUUGAAUAAGCUGGCACCUUGACGGUACCUAACCAGAAAGCAACGGCUAACUACGUGCCAGCCGCCGCAGUAA
rnacentral:rRNA from 1 species